CCCGGUAAUCCGGUCUGCUCGCCUCUAUCCUGACGGCCGCGACUCGGUUCAGCUCCUCCACAAAGAUUCCACUGACCAAUGAGCUGCAGGGCCACCUGAACAGGAAGUGACGUGUCUGUGCGGACCAAUCCGCAGUUGUAAAACGGCAGCGGGCGGAAGGCCCGCCCCCUGACUGUCGAACCGGAGCGCGCCUCGAGAAGAGCCGUGCGAACCCGUCCGAGCUCUGCGGUGCCGCUCCAGUUUCAGCAACAUGGAUACAGAGUUGUUUAUGGAGUGUGAGGAGGAGGAGCUGGAGCCAUGGCAACAGGUGGAUGACAGUGUGGAGGAAGAUGACAUGGACUUCAUGGACAACUAUGGAGAGCCAGUGGAGGAUUCUCCAUCUCCACUCCCAGUCUCUGAGACUCCACCUCCAAGGACCCCCC